UACGAAGGGGGCUAGCGUUGCUCGGAAUCACUGGGCGUAAAGCGCACGUAGGCGGACUCUUAAGUCGGUGGUGAAAUCCUGGAGCUCAACUCCAGAACUGCCUUUGAUACUGAGAAUCUUGAGUACGGGAGAGGUGAGUGGAACUGCGAGUGUAGAGGUGAAAUUCGUAGAUAUUCGCAAGAACACCAGUGGCGAAGGCGGCUCACUGGCCCGUAACUGACGCUGAGGCACGAAAGCGUGGGGGAGC
rnacentral:rRNA from 1 species